CACACGCGAACUCAUUUCUUCUCCCAUGGCAGAUAAGACGUUUCUUUCUCAUUGCAAGUUUUCCACAUUUUUAGUUUCUUUAUCAUUUCUUACUGCAGAAUGCUCAUUCUCUCCGCACAUGAGCCAUCAUUUUGUUCUUCAUGAAAAUCCUUUCGUUGUUUCAAGUUCGAGGGAAGCUUUAUGACUUGAAUCAGGAACAUCAGAUGCGUCUUGGACAGAAAUCAAUCUUUCACAUUGAAGUUUGAUAUGUCAUAAGGAUAAUAAGCAGAUCGAUUUAUCCGGAUUUCCUUGCUGAUAGAUGUUAAUGGGGCGCGUAAUGAAGCAAUUUUCAUGCCCAGUGAUGGAUCAUAACCCGUUGAAACAGGAACACAACUAACAGAUCAUGAGGUUCUUGAAACUCAUUAUAGUCAAUUGCAGUCUUUCCAACUUCUUGCAUUUAAAAAGAUGGAAAAGGUUAGAGCUUAGAUAUAAUUUAAUCUAAAUGAACAUAAUAUCCUAAAAUCCUACUAUAAUAUGUAUUACUUUAAUAUCAUGUCAUUCUUCAUUCUACCUUCCCUUAAUUUCAUGUUUGUGUACAAGAUUUCUUAAUUUUUUUUCUGGUUGUAGCUGCAGGAACUUGCUUUGACUAACAUUGGUUCUAUUCACAAACGUGCUAAUUUGUCCAAGAAAUUGUCUGUUCUUUCUGCAGAGGAGUUAAUGCAAGCUAAUUUUUAACUUAUGCAUGAAUAAUUUACUUACAAGGGUGUUGACUGUUGAGACUGGAAUAUGAGUCAUUGACUUUUGUUCACCUUUUUGUGAUUGAGGUAUGUGCAAGUAGUGGUUGAUGAGAUUGUCUUCAAUAAUAUUGAUCCAAUGAAGGUGGUUCAGCUUUUCCUCUAGCAUUUUGCAUAUUUCUUAUCCACCCAUUCCUUUAAUCUAUUGUUUUGAAUGGAUUUUAUAGCAUCCAGGUAGCUGGGGUUUGAGUAAGCUCUUGAAAGAGUUCGUGACUAUUGGUGGAAAGCUGUUGCAUGGAAUUAGUGAUCACACUUUGCUAAAUUCACUUGGGCUACUAAAUGAUGUGAGCUCAGUUGAUAUUGUAAACUUUUCCCUUCCAAAUUUGCCAGUGCCUCCAAAUGCCUUCACUAGCAUAAUGUAGGAAUGGGAAGUAUCAAACCACUUGUAAUCUUCUUCGCAAGUAUCUUGGAGAUUUUUUAAUUGCUUCAUAUUUAAAUGUUGUUGAAGAGUCUGGUUAUGAUGAGAGACAUGCAAAGGAAAUUGAGGUAAGAUAUUCUAUUCAACUAUUUUUUCUUGUAAUUGAACAUUUUGUUGCCUGCCGUAUAUUUACUAAUGUAAAUAAUAGCUACAAUCGUGCAGAAAUUUGUG